GAUGAACGCUGGCGGCGUGCCUAAUACAUGCAAGUCGAGCGAACGGACGAGAAGCUUGCUUCUCUGAUGUUAGCGGCGGACGGGUGAGUAACACGUGGAUAACCUACCUAUAAGACUGGGAUAACUUCGGGAAACCGGAGCUAAUACCGGAUAAUAUUUUGAACCGCAUGGUUCAAAAGUGAAAGACGGUCUUGCUGUCACUUAUAGAUGGAUCCGCGCUGCAUUAGCUAGUUGGUAAGGUAACGGCUUACCAAGGCAACGAUGCAUAGCCGACCUGAGAGGGUGAUCGGCCACACUGGAACUGAGACACGGUCCAGACUCCUGCGGGAGGCAGCAGUAGGGAAUCUGCCGCAAUGGGCGAAAGCCUGACGGAGCAACGCCGCGUGAGUGAUGAAAGUCUUCGGAUCGUAAAACUCUGUUAUUAGGGAAGAACAUAUGUGUAAGUAACUGUGCACAUCUUGACGGUACCUAAUCAGAAAGCCACGGCUAACUACGUG
rnacentral:rRNA from 1 species